UACAGAGGUCCCAAGCGUUGUUCGGAUUCAUUGGGCGUAAAGGGUGCGUAGGCGGCGCGGUAAGUCGGGUGUGAAAUCUCGGGGCUUAACUCCGAAACUGCAUUCGAUACUGCCGUGCUUGAGGACUGGAGAGGAGACUGGAAUUUACGGUGUAGCGGUGAAAUGCGUAGAUAUCUGGAGGAAUACCGGUGGCGAAGGCGGCAUCCUGGACCAUAACUGACGCUGAGGCGCGAAAGCUAGGGGAGCAAACGGG
rnacentral:rRNA from 1 species